AUUGGGAGGGAGUAGUUCUGCAUGACAAAUCCCUCAAAUGACGUUUUUGGAGAACACAUAAUAAAAUGUUUAGGGUGUGGGAUUUGGUGAGUGCAUACUGAGAUUCCAGCACUUCUUUCUCAUGUGUUACAUGUGCUGGCUUUUAUUUAGAACCUGUGUUUGUGCAAAAUACUUUUUACAAAAUUGUAUACAUACUUCUUAAACAGUGGUAUUGGAUGAAUAGAAAUGGGAUGUUAAAGAGGAUUGUAGAACAUGAAGGUAAUAGAGGAAACUGAAUUUACUACCUUGAGUCAAUGAAAGGAGCACAUUGGAAAACAUGGGUGUUUGUUGGUAGUAUUCAAGAACAGAAUCAGAAAAUGCAAAUAGGAAAAAAAAAAAGGAAAAUGCAAAUAGAAAGAAA